rnacentral:rRNA from 1 species
UUUAGUAUGGCGACCGGCGCACGGGUGAGUAACACGUAUCCAACCUGCCGAUGACUCGGGGAUAGCCUUUCGAAAGAAAGAUUAAUACCCGAUGGCAUAGUUCUUCCGCAUGGUAGAACUAUUAAAGAAUUUCGGUCAUCGAUGGGGAUGCGUCCCAUUAGGUUGUUGGCGGGGUAACGGCCCACCAAGCCUUCGAUGGAUAGGGGUUCUGAGAGGAAGGUCCCCCACAUUGGAACUGAGACACGGUCCAA